UUGGAACUAGGAGUUGGAAUAGG
rnacentral:piRNA from 2 species